UACGUAGGGUGCGAGCGUUAAUCGGAAUUACUGGGCGUAAAGCGUGCGCAGGCGGUUUUGUAAGCCAGAUGUGAAAUCCCCGGGCUUAACCUGGGAAUGGCAUUUGGGACUGCAAGGCUGGAGUGUGGCAGAGGAGACUGGAAUUCCUGGUGUAGCAGUGAAAUGCGUAGAUAUCAGGAGGAAUACCGAUGGCGAAGGCAGGUCUCUGGGCUGACACUGACGCUCAUGCACGAAAGCGUGGGGGAGCAAACAGG
rnacentral:rRNA from 1 species